AGUGAACGCUGGCGGUAGGCCUAACACAUGCAAGUCGAACGGCAGCACAGUAAGAGCUUGCUCUUACGGGUGGCGAGUGGCGGACGGGUGAGGAAUACAUCGGAAUCUACUUUUUCGUGGGGGAUAACGUAGGGAAACUUACGCUAAUACCGCAUACGACCUACGGGUGGAAGCAGGGGAUCUUCGGACCUUGCGCGAUUGAAUGAGCCGAUGUCGGAUUAGCUAGUUGGCGGGGUAAAGGCCCACCAAGGCGACGAUCCGUAGCUGGUCUGAGAGGAUGAUCAGCCACACUGGAACUGAGACACGGUCCAGACUCCUACGGGAGGCAGCAGUGGGGAAUAUUGGACAAUGGGCGCAAGCCUGAUCCAGCCAUACCGCGUGGGUGAAGAAGGCCUUCGGGUUGUAAAGCCCUUUUGUUGGGAAAGAAAAGCAGCAGGUUAAUACCCCACUGUUCUGACGGUACCCAAAGAAUAAGCACCGGCUAACUUCGUG
rnacentral:rRNA from 1 species